GACGUAGGGCGCGAGCGUUGUCCGGAUUUAUUGGGCGUAAAGAGCUCGUAGGCGGCUUGUCGCGUCGACCCGUGAAAAACUUGGGGGCUCAACCCCCAAGCCUGCGGUCGAUACGGGCAGGCUCGAGUUCGGUAGGGGAGACUGGAAUUCCUGGGUGUAGCGGUGAAAUGCGCAGAUAUCAGGAGGAACACCGAUGGCGAAGGCAGGUCUCUGGGCAUUAACUGACGCUGAGGAGCGAAAGCGUGGGAGCGAACAGG
rnacentral:rRNA from 1 species